CAUGCAGUCGAGGGGCAGCAUUUCAGUUUGCUUGCAAACUGGAGAUGGCGACCGGCGCACGGGUGAGUAACACGUAUCCAACCUGCCGAUAACUCGGGGAUAGCCUUUCGAAAGAAAGAUUAAUACCCGAUGGUAUAAUCAGACCGCAUGGUCUNAUUAUUAAAGAAUUUCGGUUAUCGAUGGGGAUGCGUUCCAUUAGGCAGUUGGUGAGGUAACGGCUCACCAAACCUUCGAUGGAUAGGGGUUCUGAGAGGAAGGUCCCCCACAUUGGAACUGAGACACGGUCCAAACUCCUACGGGAGGCAGCAGUGAGGAAUAUUGGUCAAUGGACGNNAGUCUGAACCAGCCAAGUAGCGUGAAGGAUGACUGCCCUAUGGGUUGUAAACUUCUUUUAUAUGGGAAUAAAGUUUUCCACGUGUGGAAUUUUGUAUGUACCAUAUGAAUAAGGAUCGGCUAACUCCGUGCCAGCAGCCGCGGUAAUACGGAGGAUCCGAGCGUUAUCCGGAUUUAUUGGGUUUAAAGGGAGCGUAGGUGGACAGUUAAGUCAGUUGUGAAAGUUUGCGGCUCAACCGUAAAAUUGCAGUUGAUACUGGCUGUCUUGAGUACAGUAGAGGUGGGCGGAAUUCGUGGUGUAGCGGUGAAAUGCUUAGAUAUCACGAAGAACUCCGAUUGCGAAGGCAGCUCACUGGACUGCAACUGACACUGAUGCUCGAAAGUGUGGGUAUCAAACAGGAUUAGAUACCCUGGUAGUCCACACAGUAAACGAUGAAUACUCGCUGUUUGCGAUAUACAGUAAGCGGCCAAGCGAAAGCAUUAAGUAUUCCACCUGGGGGAGUACGCCCGGCAACGGUGAAAACUCAAAGGAAUUGACGGGGGGCCCGCACAAGCCGGAGGAACAUGUGGUUUAAUUCGAUGAUACNCGAGGAACCUUACCCCGGGCUUUAAAUUGCUUUUUGAAU
rnacentral:rRNA from 1 species